GUGCGCGAGUCGAGGGGCGUUACGAAACCCCAGGGCGCAAUGAAGGUGAAGGUCGGCCUCGAGUCGACCCAGGUGGGAGGCCGCCGUUCGCGGUGGCCGCACCACCGGCCCGUCUCGACCGUCGCGUCGGUGAGGCGGAGCAAGAGCGUACACGUUGGGACCCGAAAGAUGGUGAACUAUGCCUGGAUAGGACGAAGCCAGAGGAAACUCUGGUGGAGGUCCGUAGCGAUUCUGACGUGCAAAUCGAUCGUCGAAUCUGGGUAUAGGGGCGAAAGACUAAUCGAACCGUCUAGUAGCUGGUUCCCUCCGAAGUUUCCCUCAGGAUAGCUGGCGCUCAUCGGUAAGCAGUUUUAUCCGGUAAAGCGAAUGAUUAGAGGCCUUGGGGCCGAAACGACCUCAACCUAUUCUCAAACUUUAAAUGGGUAAGAAGUCCGUCUCGCUCGGCUGGAGUCGGACGUCGA
rnacentral:rRNA from 1 species